rnacentral:lncRNA from 1 species
CCUAAAACCAGUUAAGUGAAACUCAGAGUUGGUGAGGAGUAGGGGUUGGUGAGAAAAGGACCUCAGAGAUACUCAAUUAUAUCAGCCCCAAAGCAUGUGUUGUUCGGUGUGAAUUAUUUAAACAACAGCCUCAGCUUUUCAUGCCCUGCUUCAUGACAAAGUCCAGCCCAAAACAUGUUGUUGCAGAGAAUAAGUUCUCUUGGUAAGUAGAAAACUAUUUUUCUUAUCAUCUGAGGGAUAAAAUGGAGAUACUGUAUUUUGA